rnacentral:lncRNA from 10 species
GGCAGAUCCAGCUCUCCAGCUUGGCAACCUGCUUAGUCUUUCUGAAUCUGGUAUUUCGUUUGUAAAAUGGGUUGUUGAUUCUUUGGCAGGGUUGGCCUUGGGAUUUUUAGCGAAAUAACGUAAGGCCAUAUCUGCUUCCCGGUAGAGUCAUUAAUGGUGGAUGCCUCACUCCUUAGGCCUCCGUGGGCCGUAUUUUAUUUUUUCUUUGCUUCUGAUAAACGCCUCAGAUUAGAUUUCGGUAAACGAGUUCAGAUGUUUGUGACGUGACGAAAUUGCUGUAUGCUUUUGUUGAGUUACAUCAAAGGAUCCCCCCGCCCCUUAAAAGGAAGGCAUAUAGAGCAUUUCGGGUCGUUUCUCGCGUAGGAGUGGGUCUUUGAAGCCAUACUCAGGGUGCAUGUUAUCAGUGAAGGGAAUUAAAAUGCUGCAUAACGACUUUAACGAAUAUUUUUGCUAGCCGUUUAGUCCUGAAAGUGUUUAUCAAAUUGUAGGCCAUUCGUGGAAAAAUCUAAUGCAUGUAGAUUUUAUUGCAAGGUACAGAAAAAUUAAGACUCUUUGUGGGAACAGUAAAGUUACAUCAUUCACCCAAAGAUGGAGUCUCUGUCGCCAGG